UACGUAGGGGGCAAGCGUUGUCCGGAUUUAUUGGGCGUAAAGAGCGUGUAGGCGGCUUGGUAGGUCCGCUGUGAAAACUCGAGGCUCAACCUCGAGAUGUCGGCGGAAACCACUUGGCUAGAGUCCGGAAGAGGAGAGUGGAAUUCCCGGUGUAGCGGUGAAAUGGCGCAGAUAUCGGGAAGAACACCUAUGGCGAAGGCAGCUCUCUGGGACGGUACUGACGCUGAGACGCGAAAGCGUGGGGGAGCGAACAGG
rnacentral:rRNA from 1 species